CGAAGCGUGCGAUUGGAUUGCACGUCUAAGCAGUAAGGCUGAGUAUUAGGCAAAUCCGGUACUCAUUAAGGCUGAGCUGUGAUGGGGAGAAGACAUUGUGUCUUCGAGUCGUUGAUUUCACACUGCCGAGAAAAGCCUCUAGAUAGAAAAUAGGUGCCCGUACCGCAAACCGACACAGGUAGUCAAGAUGAGAAUUCUAAGGUGAGCGAGCGAACUCUCGUUAAGGAACUCGGCAAAAUGACCCCGUAACUUCGGGAGAAGGGGUGCUCUUUAGGGUUAACGCCCAGAAGAGCCGCAGUGAAUAGGCCCAAGCGACUGUUUAUCAAAAACACAGGUCUCUGCUAAACCGUAAGGUGAUGUAUAGGGGCUGACGCCUGCCCGGUGCUGGAAGGUUAAGAGGAGUGGUUAGCUUCUGCGAAGCUACGAAUCGAAGCCCCAGUAAACGGCGGCCGUAACUAUAACGGUCCUAAGGUAGCGAAAUUCCUUGUCGGGUAAGUUCCGACCCGCACGAAAGGCGUAACGAUUUGGGCACUGUCUCAACGAGAGACUCGGUGAAAUCAUAGUACCUGUGAAGAUGCAGGUUACCCGCGACAGGACGGAAAGACCCCGUGGAGCUUUACUGUAGCCUGAUAUUGAAAUUCGGCACAGCUUGUACAGGAUAGGUAGGAGCCUUUGAAACGUGAGCGCUAGCUUACGUGGAGGCGCUGGUGGGAUACUACCCUAGCUGUGUUGGCUUUCUAACCCGCACCACUUAUCGUGGUGGGAGACAGUGUCAGGCGGGCAGUUUGACUGGGGCGGUCGCCUCCUAAAAGGUAACGGAGGCGCUCAAAGGUUCCCUCAGAAUGGUUGGAAAUCAUUCAUAGAGUGUAAAGGCAUAAGGGAGCUUGACUGCGAGACCUACAAGUCGAGCAGGGUCGAAAGACGGACUUAGUGAUCCGGUGGUUCCGCAUGGAAGGGCCAUCGCUCAACGGAUAAAAGCUACCCCGGGGAUAACAGGCUUAUCUCCCCCAAGAGUUCACAUCGACGGGGAGGUUUGGCACCUCGAUGUCGGCUCAUCGCAUCCUGGGGCUGUAGUCGGUCCCAAGGGUUGGGCUGUUCGCCCAUUAAAGCGGUACGCGAGCUGGGUUCAGAACGUCGUGAGACAGUUCGGUCCCUAUCCGUCGUGGGCGUAGGAAAUUUGAGAGGAGCUGUCCUUAGUACGAGAGGACCGGGAUGGACAUACCUCUGGUGUACCAGUUGUCGUGCCAACGGCAUAGCUGGGUAGCUAUGUGUGGACGGGAUAAGUGCUGAAAGCAUCUAAGCAUGAAGCCCCCCUCAAGAUGAGAUUUCCCAACUUCGGUUAUAAGAUCCCUCAAAGAUGAUGAGGUUAAUAGGUUCGAGGUGGAAGCAUGGUGACAUGUGGAGCUG
rnacentral:rRNA from 1 species